CUCGGUUUUUAUCGCGUGUAGGUAUUAUUGUGUGUGCGCAGAUGGAAAUUACAAAUGUGUGGAGAGUUUAAUCUAAUAAUAAUAAUUUACUACACGACGUAUAAGAUUAACAAACAUUGUUUUUUGAAUACUCGCGUGAAAUUAGAUGUAAUAACAUUUUAACAACUAUACAUAUCUAACAACAGUCGAUGAAUAAAUUAGAAUAUUGUGUAAUAAUCAAGUUAAGUCAUUACAAACGAGAGUUGGU